UAUACUUGUCUUCAAUUUUUUGGUUUGCCUGUGGAGACUGGCUUACUGUGUAUCCUGGAACUCACUGGGUAGACUGCCUUUUUCACACAAGUGCUGGGAAUAAAGGUUUUGCACCACUAUGCUGUGUUGGAUUGGGGCUUAAAGUAAAUAGUUUUACUGAAUUUUAGUCUUGGCUUUGUUUCAAGCAUUCUCUUUAUGGUACAGUUUAGUUUGGCCUUCAUUAAUUUCGUAGUAAAGUUUAGAACUAGAUACAGUGAUUCUCAACCUUUAGGUGGUGACCCAUUUGGGGGCUGGGUCACAUACCAGAUAUCUCACAUAUCAGGUAUUUACAUUCCAAUUAAUGACAGGAGCAGAAUUACAGUUAUGUAGUAGUAACAAAAUAAUCUUAUGAUAGCAGGUUACCAGACCAUGAAGCAUAUAUUAAAGGGUCACAACAUUAGGAAGGUUGAGAACCACUCAUAGAAGAAGACAGAUUAAUUUGAGGAGCAACAGCUUUGUAGUGGUCAUGUAAAAGUCACAAAGAGGUGGUAGAUGUGAAAGUCAAGCUAUUCCAAGCUAGUGUCGUACAUUUUGAAGCUUCUGGCUGUAAAUAAACUUUACCAUGUUGCAUUUGUCAUUCAUUCAAAAUAUCAUUAACUUAAAAUCUUCAGGAUAUUGUUAUAAGAAGAGUUAUUUCGUUUUUUAAAUGAAGAUACUGUGCUUGUUGGCAACAAGAUAUUCCUCAGGUUUAUCAGAUACCUCUGAUGAAUGCUAGGAAACUAACUAUUCAUAUUAAGGCAAACCUACAUGACCAUAAUUUUAUUUCAUACUGACAGCUGUUUACUUAAGUGGAAAAAGACUGAAAUUGACCAUCUCAACUGUAUUGAAAAAGGGUAAACAGUUAAAACUCACACAGCUAUCCAUAAGUUAAUCAUAUGUAAUUUUGUAUUUGAACUAUACAUUCACAUGCAUUGUGGAUAUGUGUGUGUACAUAAACACAAACCUUUUUAAAUGACAGAAUUAAUGAUAUCUUGACUGAAUUAAUUCAUCAUUUGCGUUUUUCUUUUAGUUACAAUGGAAUUGGGUAUCUAAAGUGUUUAAAGUCAAAGGAGGGGUGGAAAGAUGGCCUGGAGGUUAAGAGCACCUGUUACUCUUGCAGGGAUGCCGGGUUCUCAACUUUCUGAAGGUUGCCUAGCAACUGUCCUUAGCACCAGUUCCAAGAGGUCACAUGCCCUCUUCUGGCUCCCACAAGCAUUGCGUGCAUAUGAUGCAGUUAAAUACAUAUAGGCAAAAGUCAGACACAUACU
rnacentral:lncRNA from 1 species